rnacentral:rRNA from 1 species
AAGGAUCAUUACCGAGUGAGGGCCCUCUGGGUCCAACCUCCCACCCGUGUCUAUCGUACCUUGUUGCUUCGGCGGGCCCGCCGUUUCGACGGCCGCCGGGGAGGCCUCGCGCCCCCGGGCCCGCGCCCGCCGAAGACCCCAACAUGAACGCUGUUCUGAAAGUAUGCAGUCUGAGUUGAUUAUCAUAAUCAGUUAAAACUUUCAACAACGGAUCUCUUGGUUCCGGCAUCGAUGAAGAACGCAGCGAAAUGCGAUAAGUAAUGUGAAUUGCAGAAUUCAGUGAAUCAUCGAGUCUUUGAACGCACAUUGCGCCCCCUGGUAUUCCGGGGGGCAUGCCUGUCCGAGCGUCAUUGCUGCCCUCAAGCACGGCUUGUGUGUUGGGCCCCGUCCCCUCCCCCGGGGACGGGCCCGAAAGGCAGCGGCGGCACCGCGUCCGGUCCUCGAGCGUAUGGGGCUUUGUCACCCGCUCUGUAGGCCCGGCCGGCGCCAGCCGACACCCAACUUUAUUUUUCUAAGGUUGACCUCGAUCAGGUAGGGAUACCCGCUGAA